rnacentral:rRNA from 1 species
CCUGGUGGGGUGACGGCGUGCCUAUCGAAAAAUGAGUCUGCGAGUCAGUGGUGCGUGGCGAGGCUAACCCGUGGUGGGGGAGCCGUAGCGAAGGCGAGUCUCAAAAGGCGUUUUGAGUCGCGCGCCCUGGACCCGAAGCGGGAUGAUCUAGCCCUGGGCAGGUUGAAGCGCGGGUAAGACCGCGUGGAGGACCGAACCCACCUGGGUUGAAAACCGGGGGGAUGACCUGGGGCUAGGGGUGAAAGGCCAAUCAAAUUCCGUGAUAGCUGGUUCUCUCCGAAAUGCAUUUAGGUGCAGCGUCGGUUGAUUGCAUCGCGGGGGUAGAGCUACUGGAUGCUUGCGGGCCCGUGUCGGGUACCAAUAGCAGCCAAACUCCGAAUACCGUGGAUGUGUAUUCCGGCAGUGAGUCGGCGGGGGAUAAGCUCCGUCGUCGAGAGGGAGACAGCCCAGAUCGUCGUCUAAGGUCCCGAAGCGUGUGCUAAGUGGGAAAGGAUGUGGAGUCGCAUAGACAGCCAGGAGGUUGGCUCAGAAGCAGCCAUCCUUGAAAGAGUGCGUAACAGCUCACUGGUCUAGUGGUUCCGCGCCGACAAUGUAGCGGGGCUCAAGCACACCACCGAAGACGCGGCAGCGGCCUUUGCGGCCGUUGGGUAGGAGAGCGUCCCGCGUGGGGCGAAGCGGCCGGGGAACCGUGCCGUGGACCGCGCGGGAGUGAGAAUGCAGACAUGAGUAGCGAGAGACGGGUGAGGAUCCCGUCCGCUGGAUGACCAAGGGUUCCGGGGCCACGUUCGUCGUCCCCGGGUGAGUCGGGUCCUAAGGCGAGGCCGACAGGCGUAGUCGAAUGGAUGAACGGGUGGAUAUUCCCGUACCGGCGGCGUACCGUAAGAGCCGAACGGAUGAGUACUAACCUCCGGUCGCGUGGCGUCGUUCCCUUCGGGGUUCGGGGCGCGUGGCCGUUGGGAGCGUAGUCCUGGUAGGCUAGCGCACAGGGGUGACACGGAAUGGGAGCCGGCCGCGGAGGUGGUUUUCCGUGGUCAAGCACGCAGCCCGUCCCAUAGGCAAAUCCGUGGGACGCAUAGGGUGAGGUGUGAUGAUGGGCGUC